rnacentral:RNase_P_RNA from 1 species
GAAGUUGAUUGGGUAAUCGCUGUAUUUUUUAAAUAUAGAGGAAAGUCCGGGCUUCAUAGGACAGGGUGCUAGAUAACUUCUAGGAGGUGUAAACCUAUGGAAAGUGCCACAGAAAAUAUACCGCCACCUCGUCGGUGGUAAGGGUGAAAAGGUGUUGGUAAGAGCGCACCGCAUUGAUGGUGACAUCAAUGGCAUGGUAAACCCCACCUGAAGCAAGACCAAAUAGUGAAAUAUACGAUGUAGUCCGCAUCAUUUCAGGGUAGGUCGCUAGAGGUGUUUGGUGACAAACAUCCCAGAUGAAUGGUUACCACGUUUAACGUACAGAACCCGGCUUAUAGAUUGGCUUCUCUU